rnacentral:misc_RNA from 1 species
AACGCACAUUGCGCCCCUUGGCAUUCCGAGGGGCAUGCCUGUUCGAGCGUCAUUUCAACCCUCAAGCUCCUGCUUAGUAUUGAGCGGCACCGCCUGUGAACACAGGCGCGCUCGAAACUCGUGGGCGGUGACGUCCAGCGUCGAAGCGUAGUCAAACGUUCGCUUUCCGACCAGCUGGGCGCUCACCCGCCGGGCGACGAAAUCUCACUCCUUAGGUUUGACCUCGGAUCAGGUAGGGAUACCCGCUGAACUUAA